rnacentral:rRNA from 1 species
UACGGAGGGGGCUAGCGUUGUUCGGAAUUACUGGGCGUAAAGCGCACGUAGGCGGCUUUGUAAGUUAGAGGUGAAAGCCCGGGGCUCAACUCCGGAAUUGCCUUUAAGACUGCAUCGCUAGAAUUGUGGAGAGGUAAGUGGAAUUCCGAGUGUAGAGGUGAAAUUCGUAGAUAUUGGGAAGAACACCGGUGGCGAAGGCGGCGACCUGGUCUGAUACUGACGCUGAGGCGCGACAGCGUGGGGAGCAAACAGG